ensembl:lncRNA
AUUUAGCUUUUUUUAAAAUUUCUUUUUACAUUAAAAUGAACAAUGAUUUAUUCAAAUAUAUAUAUAUAUCUCCAGUUAGAAAAAUCUUACCUUCUUCACCUACUCCUUCCAACAAAUACAACUAAUGCACCAGUGGAGGUUGAGCCGGCAAAAGCUGACGACUGUCCUUAGGCCAUUCAGGUUUGUGACUGAGCUUCUUGGAGGUGAGACAUAUGUCUCAUGUUCAGUGGUUUUACCUGCUUACUGCCACCUGCAUCACACCAUGGAGGUCUCCAAUGAUGACCCAGACUACAUGGUGAAAUUUAAGACUGCCUUUACAAAGAACCUAUUCCAACAUGUAGCUACACUCAACCAUCAGUGGCUCAAGGGGGAGAGGGAGAAGAGGUUUGGAUCAGCCUUGACGUUACUGCAGGAACAGUGUAAAGAUGCCACCACAAAGGAGCCAGCAAAGACAAAGAGCCUCCUCCUCUCUUCAAUGUCUCCAGACUCUGAUUCAGAUGAUUCAGAUGAGGAAGCCCUGUGUAACAGGGCCCUGAGCAGAAUCCACCAUCAGCGAUAAAGACUGCCCACUGCAGUCUAAUACAAUUAUCUAAUACAGUCUAACACAAUUAUCAUUGUUGUUUGUUGAAUCCUAAUGGCAACUGUAGUGUGUAAUCAGGUAUAAACACUUUAUUUACAAGACAAAACAUCUGUUACAGGUCAUAACAGAGUUUAAAUGUGAAGCUGGUCAAAUAACCUUUCAUGUUUCUGCCUUAGUUUUUUAAGAAGAAAAACUGCAAUUUAUGUUGAAAAUGUUAUUAUUAUUAUAAGAGACACUACCAUUUUAAAAAUGUACUUAAAUUAGCAUUUUAUUUUUUUAAAUUGAGUCCCACCCCUACUAAUUAAUUAAUGAAAAGUGUUAUUAAUUAAACAAAAUUUAAAAUAAACACAUUAUUAAAUGAUUUAAAUAAAACAAAUAUGCAUCUAAUUAAUUAUUGAACUAUUUAUUUAAUUAAUUAAUUACAAUUUUAAUUAAGCAGUGAAACAUUUAAAUUAUUUAAUAACAUAUAUAAUUAAUAAAUUUUGUCCCUCAUGGCCUUCCAUAAAAGACAAGCCCCAGCUAGACUAAUUUAAAAUAACAAAGAACAAAAUGUUUCUCACCACCUUCAGCUCAACCUCUUGAAGAUGAAAGCCUGAAGUUCUCACAAUUUUUUCCUGACCAUCGAAAUAAAUCAGGAUCUGUAAUCUGAUAUGUAAACAUAUAAAUGUCUGAGUAUUGACUAGAAUGUAACAAAACAAAACAAAAAACACCCACCAACGUCACACCACCCAAAGAAGUUCAAUAUUUGAGAACACUAAUACAAAAAUUCACAUUGUAAAAAAACAACUAGUGACAGUUUCUGAAUGGUAUCUAAAUAUAUUUCACAAUAAUGCAAAAGCAUGUAGAAUACAUUAAAUUUUUUGUCAUAAAAUAAAAAUGCUAUUCUUAUUCACUUUUCAAUUGUCUUGUUAAUAGUAAACACAUCAGAAACAAAUAUCAAACAGAAGAGAUACAAACUAGAGGAAUAUAUACAAAAGAAGAGAAAGGCACACAAUGGAGAGCAAAGUGCUUGGAAGCAGUGGAAAAGGACUUGGUCUAAUAAUGAGUAAGCUGAAGAGGAAAUGGGUUUGCGCUCAUCUAGAAGAUCUUCGUGGUUAGGGGAGUUGGCUGGCCCAUCCUUAACACGGUUCUGUUUUUUCCAUCCCAUUGUAGAAAAGUGUUUGUUCAUAUGGGGCUGUUUGAUUGUGGGGGUGAUUUCUCAGAUGCUGAGCAGUCCAUGAAUUAACCUGAGGUCAAAGACAUUUGUGCAGCUGCUGAUGAUCUUUCCAAAGACGCCACUGCUACCUUUUUAUAGGGACACUGUUAACCUGCCUCAAGAAUAUAGAUAAAACACUUUGGCUAAUAACAGUUCUCUCCUAAAUGUAACAGUUCUUAGUAGCUUCUUAGCUUUGUUGUUAGUUGUCAGAAUACUUUUACUGUAAACUAAAUGUUAGUUUUGCAGUUUGACCCAGGGAUGUAAAACUCAAUUUACAUCAUGAGCCACUUACAAGCUACUUUGAUCCUAAGUGGGCCAGCCAGUGAAUUUACAUGAUAAAUGUGUAAAAUUACACAAAAAGUAAUUCAUUAUCCAGACUAUCCCAUAUUUCUAAAGAUCUAAAAGAUACUUUCUCCUGUGAAUUUAUAUAGUAGAGAAAUUUCUGUCAUUUAAUUGUUUAUCUAUUAAUUACUUUGCUGUAGUAUAAAUGAGGCGGGCUCUUUAUUAAUAGGAAAAGCUUUAAACUUAUGAAAAUACAGUUAGAAGUUCAAAAUCUAUGCACUCCUUCACAUUUUCCUGAGCCAUCCAGAGGGUCGGAAUGGAGUCUUUGACGGGCCGUGUUAAAUCUCCCAAUUCUUUUAUCUUUGGGCUGAAGGAAGAACAGCACUCGGUGUAUAAAUGCUCAAUCAACAAUCUCUUCAUUCCAUACGAUUCUCAUUAUUCCAUACAACACUUUGAGCAUAAACAUCCGGAU